ACCUUCCACGUUCCUCCUGCUCUGUAGAGUCCCUUCUAAGCCACAAAGCCCUGUCCCCUCGGGCAGGAGGCAGGUGCAUAGCACUAUGCACAACAAAGGGAAGGUACUUGGGGCAGUCUGGCUCUCCACUGGGCUCCCAAGCAUUUGCUGCUUUGGAUGACACUCAUACAACCGGCAUUCCCACCAUAUUUUCUUGCAGACCUGCUAGAGGGUCAUGAAUUCAGCUGUAAUUCAACAAGAAGUUCUGCCAAUGGUGAGACAGAAUCAGUCCAACAGUGAAACACGAAGAUGAACAGAAGGCUUUUACCUGUUGCAAAGGACAUCUGUGAAUCAGAGAUAAAAUGGGAUAACUCAAGAGGGCCUUGCCUUUCUUCUCAACACAAGAAAAAGAGGUACCAACUUGUUGCCUGAAGCUAAGCUCUAACUUGUUUCUUUCCCUGGAUUCCCAUUUCCCUUCUGAGGUAGCUCAUCCAAGUGCCUCUCAUUUCAAUACGUUGGGACUGGCAGUACCCUGGGACUGGCAGGCUCUUCCUUGGAACUCUCAGUCAUCCCUCUAAAGACCAUGAUCUUGAGACCCUGGGGCCUUGCUAUACACUCAGACUGCACACACAGCGAAGGAGAAUAUAUAGCAGAUGCAAAGUGAGAAAUCCUUCCUCUUUACAUGCUGGACUCGGGUGUGGCUGUGCUGGAUCAACAGCAGAACUCAGAACUCCCU